AGUGAACGCUGGCGGUAGGCCUAACACAUGCAAGUCGAACGGCAGCACAGUAAGAGCUUGCUCUUACGGGUGGCGAGUGGCGGACGGGUGAGGAAUACAUCGGAAUCUACUUUUUUGUGGGGGAUAACGUAGGGAAACUUACGCUAAUACCGCAUACGACCUACGGGUGAAAGCAGGGGAUCUUCGGACCUUGCGCGAUUGAAUGAGCCGAUGUCGGAUUAGCUAGUUGGCGGGGUAAAGGCCCACCAAGGCGACGAUCCGUAGCUGGUCUGAGAGGAUGAUCAGCCACACUGGAACUGAGACACGGUCCAGACUCCUACGGGAGGCAGCAGUGGGGAAUAUUGGACAAUGGGCGCAAGCCUGAUCCAGCCAUACCGCGUGGGUGAAGAAGGCCUUCGGGUUGUAAAGCCCUUUUGUUGGGGAAGAAAAGCAGCAGGUUAAUACCCCGCUGUUCUGACGGUACCCAAAGAAUAAGCACCGGCUAACUUCGUG
rnacentral:rRNA from 1 species